rnacentral:tRNA from 1 species
AAGAUACUAGUAUAACGAUAGUACACUGCCUUGUCGAGGCAAAACUGCAGGUUAAACCCCUGCGUAUCUUA